AACUUUCAACAACGGAUCUCUUGGUUCUGGCAUCGAUGAAGAACGCAGCGAAAUGCGAUAAUUAAUGUGAAUUGCAGACUCAGUGAAUCAUCGAAUCUUUGAACGCACAUUGCGCCCUCUGGUAUUCCGGGGGGGCAUGCCUGUUCGAGCGUC
rnacentral:rRNA from 1 species